UUUCCUAGUUGGGCUCUGACAGGGUGUCACAGAGGGCAGACCCUAAGGAUGUGUUUGUAGGUAACUUGGUUUUUAAGAGGAGGCCAGAUAAAAUGAGACUUGUCCUUCCAGAAUCCUUUCUGUGUUCUGUAACUUCUGCUCAGUUAGAAUACUUAAAUUCCAAGUUAAGAAGACUGGAGAAAUGGGGAAAAGAAUGAGAAGCAGGCUCAGAAGUCUCAGGGUACAGCUACCUUUCUUCUGGUCAACAGCCACUGGCCUUCAGCAUCUGAGACAGACACAGUGAACAGAGGAAUACCUGCGUUUUCAGUCUAUUGUAGACCAGCUCAUUGGUGCAGAAAUAUUUGAUUUUUUUUUAAUUAGGCUUCCUUGGCUUCACUUCUUGCUGCAAGUGGGGUGGAGGCUGGGGCAUGCCAAGGAGAAAGGCAAAGAGGAAAAGAACGGAAGAACAGCAACUGCACAACACUUCAAAGGUCAAGUGGUUUCUGCUUGGCAAUGAAACAACAUUUAUAUGUGUGCUAAGUCUAGGCAGCUUCUCCCACUAAGAGAGAAAGAAAGCUCAAGGCCCACGCUAACUUGGACGUGCCUUUAAAUGUUACCCAGCACCUAAUAUAUUACAGAGAAAGUACAACGAGAACAGAUGGGGAACAUAAAGCAGAUGCAGAGCUGAAGUCUAAAUAGAGAUGAACAAUUCUUCAGUUAACAAUAAGAAAAGGAGAUGGCGGUGUUGACGACAUGGAAAAGGAGUCAUUUACAAGGGAGACAAGAGACUGGCAAAGUCACCCAUGAACGCCCCAGGGAUGCAUUCUGGCUACAUGGAAUUAUAUUUAUUCAUGUUUUUCUGGGACUAAAAAGUGGCAUAACCGGGUCUUCUCAGAUGGAAAGCUCCAAGAAAUCAGGAACCAUUAUGGCGGCAGCAUACUGGAACGCAUACUACUCAAGGAAGGCCUUCUAGAACAGAGCCUGGCUACUGCAUUUCCUAUCCUGGAAGGAGGUGUUUUGAUAUUUUAAGCCCAUCAGACAUGGCAAAUGUGUCAUUUCCUGUGACAAAUUCACUUCAUUUUUUCACUUCUAUUUUUAUAACUAAAACUUGUUUUGUGGAUAUUUUCAGUCAUAAGAAAUAAGGUAGAAUAGUGCUGAUUUUACAGAUUCCUUCACCUAGGUUCCAUGUGUGUUUAUUAACAUCUACUUAUUUCCUGUUCUUUUUCUUGCUAUCUAAAUUCAAUCAUGUUUAAGUUUUCUUUACUUAGAGUCCCCACUUUAAAAAAAAAACAACAAAAAAAAAUCAUGCCUUCUCCUGGUAACUAGUGGUUAAAAAAUAAAAUUAAAUUUAAAAAAGGCUGUAAAGUUCUUAGUAUGGAAGCCUGCAAAAGCCAAGCAUGAGAUAAACGUGGGUUAUAAUAAGUUUUUAAAAAUUAAGAUUUAUUUUGUAAAUGAUUUUGUGUCGAUGAGCGUGAGCCUGCAUGUGUAUAAUGUGUACCAUGCACAGGUGGGCGUUCCCAGGAGCCAGAAGAGCGUUUAACAUACUCUGGAUUAUAGUUACGAACAACUGUGGGUUAUCAUGGAAACCCAAGUCCUUUGCAAGAGCAGCAAGGGUGGAAUGGCUGAGUCUUCUCUCCAAUCCCCCAAAUCAUAAUUUUUAUGCAUGGACACAUGAAAACACAACAGAAGAUAUGAGAUGAUGGAACUGUGAUUGUCAGUUUGAGAGGAACAAAGCGGAAAUUGGGAAAAUCAGUUUUUUCUCUUCCUCUCUCCCUCCCUUCCUCCUCUCUUUUUCUCUUAGUCUUCCUUCCUUCUUCCCUUCCUCCCCCCCCCCCCACAAAGAAUUCCAGCAUUGUCUUAACUACCAGGUAUCAAGGGAUGUGAAGCUCUACUGACACACAUUUUCCUAGAAGCAGAUAACAGAGCACUACUUAAACACACACACAUUCAUCAUGGAAAAAUAAUCCAUCAGAGAACCAACCCUUAUGUUUACAGCUGGUUUUUAGUCACAGUAUUUCUUAGAAAGAUGGGGGUGGGGAGAGUCCAGGAAAUAACAAAGAAGUCACUAUUGCUAACUUCUAAAAGUUAAACCUUCACAGGGAAGACAGAUAUUACAAAGAAACUCCAGUGAACAUAGAGUCUCCACUGUGUGUGAAAACUCAAAGUGAGAAUGUUAUACGUAGAUCCUACAUUUCUAGCAUAGCCUGAAUCUGCAUCAUGGUGCAUACUCAAUACAAGCUACAGUGGACAUGGUGACACUGAAGGCAGUUGGGUUUGGCUGUGAGGCAACAGAGAUGGAAACAGUUUUCAGUACAGUUGCUGACAUGGACCACAUAGACAGUCUCAGAAAGUUACCACAAGCUUUAAUGACACCUACCCCCACCCUUCUUACUAUGAGGAAAUAGUUUUAAUUAUGUAAUUAAUAAUGGGGACUUCCUUUACUCUGUAAGAGGCAUCACAUAGUCCACUACCAUUCAAAUAGUUAUACUCUGUUGUUUCUAAACUCGUUUCAAUUUUAUGACUAGCUCUAAAUUCAAGUCUCAGGCAGACUUUUAAGGAACAACUGCAGAAGUCAACAGGAUCUUCUAGUUAGCACUCUAUGCAUAUGGCAAAUGGCUUCUGAGUAGCCACCCCCAGUGGCUCAUUCAUUCCUACCAGCACCUUUACACCAUCAGAGGUUGUCUACAUAAUAUAGUCACACACUCAGCCCCCUGACUCGUCUCCUUCCCAGUUCCACUGAAAGUUAUUCUUCAACAUCUGUACAGUUUUUUUUUAAACAAACAGCAUGCAUGUAGGCUGCCCUUUAAUGACACAAGCAGUCAUGCAUUGGAGUAUGCAUUUGUUCUAAAGGUAAAAAGGCAAGCUUCAACAACAACCACAACAGCAACAACAUCAACGACAAUAACAACAACACACACAGAAAACAUUUCACAAGAUCCAUCACAACAUCAUGCUGGUUUUUGCCUACAGCUGAUGAAGAUAAGCCCUGGAAUGAAGCAUAGCAGUGCUGACAUACAGGGGUGGAGUAAGGGAAGGUGGAAGGACGAGCGAGGAAAGAAGAUAGCAGAAGUGCUGGAGCAAAAACUGGAGUGUCUGGGAGCUGACUCAGCAUCUGCUCCAUCUCAUGCCCCUUCCCAGGAGCGAGGGACACCAAAAAUGACAUUUCCCUCAAUUGGAGAACUGACGGAGAGAGCAAGGAACUAUUAUCAUGCAUCUGCCGGGAUGGCAAGCUGACGUCAAGGCGUGACUGUCCUUUGUAGAAAGGAAGGAGCCAUGGAGAAAGUAAAUUAAUUCAGAAGGUAACUUCCUGUGACCUCUGCAUGAUUGCUCCCCACACUGCCACUGUGAGUUCUAAUAGCCUAAAAGGGCAAGGCUCAGUGAUGCCGCUCAGUUACUUGCAAUGGUGAUUACCUGAGGGAGUGAAACAGCACAGCGUGGGGGCAUUUUCAUAAUGAGAACAUCCUGAAUCCAGUUAUCCAGGCACUAUCAUCACCACUAAGCUUGAUGGACAGCUUCCAGAAAGUCUUGUCUGAACAAUCAUGAUCCCCCUGCUUCUCUAUUGUGCAGACUAAAGUUUAUGUCAACUUGAAACAAACUUGUGUCAUUUUGGAAGAAGGAACCGUAAUUAAGAAAAUGCUCCUACCAGAUUGGCUUGUGGACUACAAUUUCAAAUUUCCCUUGGGGCUGGUGUGUUUAUGCAAUUAAGGUCUUGCCAAGAGACCGUCAACGUAAGUGACAUUUGUAACCUUUCUUUGCCUGCUCAACGUCCUCUACUUUCAGGCUAGAUCCUUAAAUCACUGUGUGGAAUGGAGCCACCCCACUGAUCUGCAACCUCCAGCUAGGAAUGUUAAA